rnacentral:rRNA from 1 species
UACGUAGGUGGCAAGCGUUGUCCGGAUUUACUGGGCGUAAAGAGCGCGCAGGCGGUCGUUCAAGUCGCGUGUGAAAGCCCCCGGCUCAACUGGGGAGGGUCACGCGAUACUGAUCGACUCGAAGGCAGGAGAGGGAAGUGGAAUUCCCGGUGUAGUGGUGAAAUGCGUAGAUAUCGGGAGGAACACCAGUGGCGAAGGCGACUUCCUGGACCGACACUGACACUGAGGAGCGAAAGCCAGGGGAGCAAACGGG